UACAGAGGUCUCAAGCGUUGUUCGGAUUCAUUGGGCGUAAAGCGCGCGUAGGCGGCCCGGUAAGUCCGCUGUAAAAGUCAAAGGCUCAACCUUUGAAUGUCAGUGGAUACUGCCGGGCUAGAGUCCGGAAGAGGCGAGUGGAACUCCUGGUGUAGCGGUGGAAUGCGCAGAUAUCAGGAAGAACACCGACGGCGAAGGCAGCUCGCUGGGACGGUACUGACGCUGAGGCGCGAAAGCGUGGGGAGCGAACAGG
rnacentral:rRNA from 1 species